AUUGAACGCUGGCGGCGGGCUUAACACAUGCAAGUCGAGCGGGGGAAGGUAGCUUGCUACCGGACCUAGCGGCGGACGGGUGAGUAAUGCUUAGGAAUCUGCCUAUUAGUGGGGGACAACGUCUCGAAAGGGAUGCUAAUACCGCAUACGUCCUACGGGAGAAAGCAGGGGAUCUUCGGACCUUGCGCUAAUAGAUGAGCCUAAGUCGGAUUAGCUAGUUGGUGGGGUAAAGGCCUACCAAGGCGACGAUCUGUAGCGGGUCUGAGAGGAUGAUCCGCCACACUGGGACUGAGACACGGCCCAGACUCCUACGGGAGGCAGCAGUGGGGAAUAUUGGACAAUGGGGGGAACCCUGAUCCAGCCAUGCCGCGUGUGUGAAGAAGGCCUUAUGGUUGUAAAGCACUUUAAGCGAGGAGGAGGCUACUUUAGUUAAUACCUAGAGAUAGUGGACGUUACUCGCAGAAUAAGCACCGGCUAACUCUGUGCCAGCCGCCGCAGUAA
rnacentral:rRNA from 1 species